rnacentral:lncRNA from 1 species
AAAUUUAUUUUUGUCUCAAGUGGCAUUCACUUUCACUAACAUCACAUAUUAUGUUACCAUAACAUACAUGGUAAAUGUGAUGGUACAGUGUAGUUAUAUUUCAGGUAGGCCUACACAUUAUGAGACAGUACUUAAAUAAUAUCAUAAAUCCCCUGCACAUGCUGAUGAAGAAUAUAUCUUCACACCGUCUUAAUAAUUACUGCUUAAUACAUUCAUCUUAAACCAAAAUGUAACAUUUUAAGUAUUUGACAUGUUGUUGAGCUGAAAUGUUAUCAUAGAAAUGAUAGGGAAAUGCCGAAUAAUUGAUUUGAUAUAUUUUCAAUUUAUUGAAAUUGACUCAAUUAAUCACAUUACAGAGAACACCUUAAGGCGCAAAUAAAGUGAGUAAACAUCACAACUACAACUUUGAUACAUUUCCAAGAGAUGCUGAAACUCCACUAGUCUGUCUUAGCUCACUUGGUAGAGCAUGGUGCUUGAAACCACAGGAUAAUGGGUUCAAUCCCCAUGGGGGCACAGUAUAAUAAUAUAUGGAGUCACUACUGUAAGUUGCUCUGGAUAAGCGUGUACAUAAAGUCUAACAGACUCAAAGAAUAAACAAGGGUUUUAGAAUGAGAAAAAAAUGUGUUCUCCAAUUGUUCAGGUAAUGUAAGCAACAUUUUCACACAUAAAGCCUGAUCUUAAAACAGAUCAAAUACCUCUUGUCACAGAGGGGUUUUGUUAAAUAAUCCUCCUGGAGGAACGUUGAUGCUGUAGCUCAAGUUGAUCAAUAUCAAAUAUAUAACUGAUACAUGCUUCACAGAAGAUGCUCAAUACAAUGUCAAUAUGACUAUCUCACCACACAAAUCUAGACGUAAUACGUUUGUAUCUUGUAGAGUUUGAACUUAAAACAGAUCAGUCGAAGAUUUCUAAAAUAUAUUGAUGAUAUAACACCCAUUUGGGUUGAAAGUCCUGUAAGAGGAUCAUUGCAGCUGAUGCAGCACAUCAUCAACAUAAUCAACAGAUUUUUCAUGAAACAUAAAUUACUGGGAUUUCAAUUUUAACACCACAAAACAGAAAAAUGCUUCAACUUCAGCACAACUGAAGUAAAAUUCUCAAUCACAGCAAGACUUUUUAAACAUCCUGCAACAGCAAAAUGGGUAUUCUUAUUAUCACUACAUAAAAAUAGAUGACUAUUGUCCAUUGUGUUGGUCUGAGUGGACUCAAGUCUGUAGGUCUCGAACAAGGCCUCCAGAGGGCGAUGUUGACAGAACUCUAUAGUUUGCAGCUGCUGGGCAGGGCUGGGAAGAUGAGGCAGGUCCCUCCGGUGGCGGUUCUAGACCAUUUCAACUGGGAGGCCAAGCUGGGGCCAGUUGUACUGUUAGAGGGGCCAGUUACAUUAGACUUUAUUGUUGUCAUAUCGUUUUCUUCACUGCAUUGCAGGCAUUAGCAGGCAAAAGUAACCCUGAUUGACAGGUGCUGAGCAGGAGGAGGAGCUCUGUUGCUGUUGUCUCAGGAUGCAAACUGUCAUCUACAGGAUGUCGGCUUUGUCCAGCUUGGAGUCGGGCUGCUGGUUGAGGAUCUCUGGAACCAGAAAAGACUUGAACUGCCAAAUGCUGUUGUUGAUACGAUCUCUGUGUAACUUCUUCACUGGCUUCCUUAGCUGCAAGAAGAGAAGAGGAGUGAUUAAUUAACUAAAUUCUGGUGUGGGACAUUAUUGAAACAAAUAAACAAUCAAUCAAUACAACUGAAUAAAUGUCAUUGAAUUUGAAUCUUCAAUUCACCUUGUUUGUCAGAGUCAGGUGCUCCUUAGAAUAGAUCAUAGCUGAAGUGAUUGUAGGUACCAUGGCUGGAUCUCUGUGCUGUAGAGGUCUGUGUAGA